rnacentral:rRNA from 1 species
UACAGAGGUCCCGAGCGUUGUUCGGAUUUAUUGGGCGUAAAGGGUGCGUAGGCGGCGGAGUAAGUUAGAGGUGAAAGCCCGGGGCUCAACUCCGGAAUUGCCUUUAAGACUGCAUCGCUAGAAUUGUGGAGAGGUAAGUGGAAUUCCGAGUGUAGAGGUGAAAUUCGUAGAUAUUCGGAAGAACACCAGUGGCGAAGGCGACUUACUGGACACAUAUUGACGCUGAGGUGCGAAAGCGUGGGGAGCAAACAGG